GCCACUUUAGCUCAGUAGGUAGAGCGCCACCAUGGUAAGGUGGAGGUCACCGGUUCAAACCCGGUAAGUGGCU
rfam:Lactobacillus equi DPC 6820 NODE_5, whole genome shotgun sequence.